GUUUUGGACAGGACCGACCUCUAGAGGCACCGCACCGCAUAGAACAGAGGAGCACAGCAGAAUAGAGAAGCAGGCCGCCGCGCUGCCCGCAGCACCGAUCCAUCCAUCCAUCCAUCCAUCCAUCAGGUACCAACCCCAACGCCUCCCCUUCUCCCUCCCUCCACUCCACCCCACUCUCCCUCUCUCUUUCUCUUCCUACACUCGAACGGAACGGUGCUGAUAUCAUCCGCGCCGCCGCACGUUGCAGAGGGGAAAAAGAAGGCAAGGAAAAGGCGCUUUCCGAGCAGAAAAAAAGGAUCUGGCCGCUUUACGCUUCUCCUCCGCGGGAUUUUGAUUCCCCCCACACCAUCAUCCACCAAUCAUCGUCGUCGCCAGGCGGGCGGCGCGCUAGCUAGGACCACAGAAGUCAACGCCGGCGGCGGGCCGCGCUCAGAUCCGAAGGCGGGGCAGGCGAACAGCGGCGGUGAUCGAUGGGGUCGUUCAAGGGCCACGUGCUGCCGGGGACGCUGUUCCUGGCGGUGGGCGCGUGGCACGUGUGGGCGGCGGUGGCGCGCUUCGCCAUGGACCCGGCCGGGUUCCGCCUCCGCGUCUGGAACCCCGUGGGCAGCGGCAGCGGGGCGCUGCGGCACCUGGAGCUCUACGUCAUCGCCGGGGGCGCCUUCCUGGACAUGUGCGUGGAGGUGCUCUACUCCACCCACCUCCACAUAUUCGCGCCCGGCGGCGGGGUCAACCCGGCGCACCUCAACGACCUCGAGCACGGCGGCAUGCUGCUCAUGUUCUUCCUCGUCGGCGCCCUCGCCCUCCUCUCCGAGAACACCAGGUACCUGCCCCUGACGGAGGGCGCGCUGAGCCUGCUGGCGGCGACGGCCUUCACGGCCGAGCUGCUGCUCUUCUACUUCCACUCGACCACGCACCAGGGGCUGGAGGGGUACUACCACUACCUCCUGGUGGUGCUCGUCGGGCUCUGCGUCGCCUCCAACGUCCUCGGCGCGCUCCUCCCGGCGAGCUUCCCCGCCGACCUGGCCAGCGGCCUGCUCAUCACCCUGCAGGGCCUGUGGUUCUACCAGACGGCCUUCACGCUCUACGGGCCGAUGCUCCCCGAGGGGUGCCACCGCGACGCCGCCGGGGACAUCGAGUGCCACGGGCACGCCGCGGGGGAGCGCGCGGAGCAGCUCGCCGACUUCCAGCUCUUCGCCUACGUCUUCCUCGUCUUCGCCUACGCCCUCGGCUGCUACGCCGUCGCCGCCGCCAAGUACGGCCACCCGGACCUGAGGGCCGUCGAGAUGGAGCACCGGGAAAAUGGCGCCGGCAGUGGUGGAAGAUUCGUUGGCAGCUCGGUGCUGUCUAGUGGCAUAUGAAUGACAUGAUAUGACUUCUGCUCUGUUUUUCGCCAUUGUCGUCUUGUUCGAUUUGGUAGAGUACACGCGACGGGCACAUCAUUGAGGGGCGGACCUGAACCUGAGGUCAGUCGGUACAAGAAUAGAGAGGGGCUGUACAUUCUGGUUAGUUAAUUACACAGCAAAAUCACAGAUCAACGUUCCUUUAGUUUUACUGUGAAGAUCAAUGAACAUUUUUACAUGAGAGGAUUAGCAUAGGACUGUAAGAGAGUCCAUCACAGAGGGGGUUUUACUAGCAGAAAUUUGGUUUUGUACACCAGGUGUGGAUUACCAGAAAUUUGGUUUCUGUCUGCCUUCAAGUAUACCAUCAGUUCAUGCGAACCUUGAGAGUUCUCC
rnacentral:rRNA from 1 species